AUUUUAGUGCGGUAAAGGUGCUCACUGGAAAUCGUUUCGAGCAUAAGCAAUAAGUGUCGACUUUUCCCCGGACCACCGGGGUAACCACUAUUUACUUGCCCAUGAUCACACCGACAAUAGGCAACGCAUUGUAUUUCAUCGUAACCAAACGACGCGACGGGCCCAGAAGAUAACGCGAGUUAAGAGGUCAACCAAUUCGCUGAGCCCAACUGCAGGAUUGGUCAAGGUUAGUUAUAGGCAUUUACGUUAAUUGCACCGGUAAAUACCGGUUUGUACCGAGCGCGUUCUACAAUUCAUUUCCAUCUACCUACCAUCGUUCUUUAAUGUACCGAACUUUACGGUGUUUAUGAACCUGGUGCACCACAAGUGGACCGGUGAAUGUUAUCGGUUAGAGAGGUGUGGUGCUGUUUUAUAACCUCAAACUCCUAUAAAAUAAAAUUAUUUCGUUAAGCAACACAUAAUUAAUUUGAAGUAUGUGUUCUUUAAACAAUUUCCAAGCUGUUGUGGAUGAAAGCAACAAUGUCAUAUUUAAGGACAAUCAGAUUCUUGUGUACAAUCCAACAGGUAAGUACCUAAUAGGAAUAUUUUGUGUAUUUUUAAGUUAUAUUUCACCCUAAUUACAAAUUGAUACAUGUUUUGCUCCCAAUUCAGAUGACUGCACAUUAUAUAUACCUAAUAAUGAAGAGACGAGAGCAGCGUUAAACCUGCGAGAAACUACUGAAGAUAAUGAAGAGAAUUUAACGGUUACCGCGGAUGAUACAGAUCAACAUGAAGAAACACAACGAUGGACCCAUGAAAGCACUCUGCUUUUAUUGUCUUUAUAUGAAGAUCAUAUUGGUUCUUUUAAAUCGCCAAAGAAAACUAAUAAAUCAGUUUGGCUUCGAAUAGCCAACGAGAUGUCAAAGCGAGGGUAUUUAUUUACAGGAGAUCAAUGCGAUUUAAAAUUUAGGAACCUAAAAAAGACCUAUAAAAGAAUAAAGGAUAAUAAUAAGUCAUCAGGAAGAGGGGCAAUUGUGUGGCCUUAUAUGGACAUGUUUGAAAGAGUAUUUGGGAGUGCACCUGACAUAAAUCCCAAGGCAACUGUGUCAACAUUUGCCACAUCAUUAAAUACUUUAAAAUCAGCAAACCUUUCAACAGAUAACCAUUCAGUUGUAUCAUUACCUUAUCUCUCACCUUCCACAAGUUCGGUAGGAUCACCUGGUUCUUCUACGCAAGUAGAAAAUAGCAAUGAAAGCGAGUGUCCUGAACCUGUUCGUAAUAAACGUCGAA